rnacentral:lncRNA from 1 species
UCAUUUUCUUUUUACUAUCACUCAAAUGUCAAUGAAGACCAAACAUCAUCUUUAAGACAUUGACUACAAGAAACUGAACACUCAUGGAUACUAAUGCAUAUCCACAACUUAAUUUUUAUCCAAAUACUUGGGACACACCAAAUGAGUAUUGCUCCCAAAGUCAAAGUUAUCAGCCAAACUAACAAAAACGUAUUUCACAAAGAGAAAAAGACUUCUCUAUCACACUUAAAAGCUAAUCAAUAAAAUCAAAAAAUAGAAACAUACACCCUAGAAAAUACCAAAACAUAUGAUACAAAAGCAAAACAACAUAUAAUAACUAGACAAAUAUAGAUAUUGCACUUUUUAUACAAAGACCAAAC